GCGUUGGAAACGACGUCUAAUACCGGAUACAAGCUGCGAAGGCAUCUUCAGCAGCUGGAAAGAACUUCGGUCAAGGAUGAGCUCGCGGCCUAUCAGCUAGUUGGUGAGGUAAUGGCUCACCAAGGCGUCGACGGGUAGCCGGCCUGAGAGGGUGACCGGCCACACUGGGACUGAGACACGGCCCAGACUCCUACGGGAGGCAGCAGUGGGGAAUAUUGCACAAUGGGCGCAAGCCUGAUGCAGCAACGCCGCGUGAGGGACGACGGCCUUCGGGUUGUAAACCUCUUUUAGCAAGGAAGAAGCGAAAGUGACGGUACUUGCAGAAAAAGCGCCGGCUAACUACGUGCCAGCAGCCGCGGUAAUACGUAGGGCGCAAGCGUUAUCCGGAAUUAUUGGGCGUAAAGAGCUCGUAGGCGGUUUGUCGCGUCUGCUGUGAAAACUGGGGGCUCAACCCCCAGCCUGCAGUGGGUACGGGCAGACUAGAGUGCGGUAGGGGAGAUUGGAAUUCCUGGUGUAGCGGUGGAAUGCGCAGAUAUCAGGAGGAACACCGAUGGCGAAGGCAGAUCUCUGGGCCGUAACUGACGCUGAGGAGCGAAAGGGUGGGGAGCAAACAGGCUUAGAUACCCUGGUAGUCCACCCCGUAAACGUUGGGAACUAGUUGUGGGGUCCAUUCCACGGAUUCCGUGACGCAGCUAACGCAUUAAGUUCCCCGCCUGGGGAGUACGGCCGCAAGGCUAAAACUCAAAGGAAUUGACGGGGACCCGCACAAGCGGCGGAGCAUGCGGAUUAAUUCGAUGCAACGCGAAGAACCUUACCAAGGCUUGACAUAUACGAGAACGCUGCAGAAAUGUAGAACUCUUUGGACACUCGUAAACAGGUGGUGCAUGGUUGUCGUCAGCUCGUGUCGUGAGAUGUUGGGUUAAGUCCCGCAACGAGCGCAACCCUCGUUCUAUGUUGCCAGCACGUAAUGGUGGGAACUCAUGGGAUACUGCCGGGGUCAACUCGGAGGAAGGUGGGGAUGACGUCAAAUCAUCAUGCCCCUUAUGUCUUGGGCUUCACGCAUGCUACAAUGGCCGGUACAAAGGGCUGCAAUACCGUAAGGUGGAGCGAAUCCCAAAAAGCCGGUCCCAGUUUGGAUUGAGGUCCGCAACUCGACAUC
rnacentral:rRNA from 1 species